rnacentral:rRNA from 1 species
CCUACGGGUGGCAGCAGUGGGGAAUAUUGGACAAUGGGCGAAAGCCUGAUCCAGCCAUGCCGCGUGUGUGAAGAAGGCCUUCGGGUUGUAAAGCACUUUCAGUGGGGAAGAAAGCCUUGGGGCUAAUACCCUCGAGGAAGGACAUCACCCACAGAAGAAGCACCGGCUAACUCCGUGCCAGCAGCCGCGGUAAUACGGAGGGUGCGAGCGUUAAUCGGAAUUACUGGGCGUAAAGCGAGCGUAGGCGGUCUGAUAAGCCGGUUGUGAAAGCCCCGGGCUCAACCUGGGAACGGCAUCCGGAACUGUCAGGCUAGAGUGCAGGAGAGGAAGGUAGAAUUCCCGGUGUAGCGGUGAAAUGCGUAGAGAUCAGGAAGAAUACCAGUGGCGAAGGCGGCCUACUGGACUGACACUGACGCUGAGGUGCGAAAGCGUGGGUAGCAAACAGGAUUAGAUACCCUGGUAGUC